CCUACGGGAGGCUGCAGUGAGGAAUAUUGGUCAAUGGGCGCAAGCCUGAACCAGCCAAGUAGCGUGCAGGAUGACUGCCCUACGGGUUGUAAACUUCUUUUAUACGGGAAUAAAGCGCCGCACGUGUGCCGUUUUGCAUGUACUUUAUGAAUAAGGAUCGGCUAACUCCGUGCCAGCAGCCGCGGUAAUACGGAGGGUCCGAGCGUUAUCCGGAUUUAUUGGGUUUAAAGGGAGCGUAGAUGGUAUGUUAAGCCAGUUGUGAAAGUUUGCGGCUCAACCGUAACCUUGCAGUGGAUACUGGCAGGCUUGAGUCCAGGUGAAGCAGGCGGAAUUCGUGGUGUAGCGGUGAAAUGCUUAGAUAUCACGAAGAACCCCGAUUGCGAAGGCAGCUUACUAAACUGCAACUGACAUUGAUGCUCGAAAGUGUGGGUAUCGAACAGGAUUAGAUACCCUUGUAGUC
rnacentral:rRNA from 1 species